CCCGUUGUCUCACAGGUCAAAUUAAUGAUUAUUUUAAACCUAAUUAUCACGACAAAGAGUUCAAAAUAAUUAAAAAUCUAAUCCGAAAUCUUACGGAUCAAAUUAAUAAUUACAUUGAUUUAACAACCAAAAUACCAUCAAAAUGCCUGAAACUUAAUAUAAUUAAAAAAUUGAUCCGAUGUCUCUCAGAUCAAAUUAAUAAUUACAAUAAGUUCGGACAAAAUCCUUACGUAUAAUGCCUACAAAAUGCACAAAUAUUAAUAUUGACAAAUCAUAUUCUAACUUAAACAAUAAUAACAAAAUUUAAAAUGAAUAAAUAAUAAAAUAAAGAAAAACAAACUACCUAAUUUGCUUUUCUCUUUUUCUUUUAUUUUUGUUUUUCUUUUUCCUUUGUUUCCAAAAGAAAAGCUCGGCAGCUCGUGCGGCUGGUCACCGGGAACUCCGGCGGAGGCGGACCGGCAGGAACGGGGCGGCACCCGAGCAGCAGGGACAACCGGCGGAACAGGGGUGUCGCAAUCAGAGGUUGCGGAGGUGCGGAGCUCCGGCGAGAUCUGGCAAUUCGGAGGGGGGUGCCGCUGGUGCUCGAGCAAAUCUGGGCAGAGGAUCUGAGCGGAUCGGACUCCAGUGGAGGCGCUGCAGGUGUCGGGGCGAGCUUGCUGGUGCAGAGGUGCGGUGGAGCGGGCAGUCGUCGGGCUUCAAACGGCGUUGAUCGCACGAUGGUGGUGUGGUGGCGGACGAG
rnacentral:lncRNA from 1 species